GUUGCAGUACAAGUAGAUGUUUCCAGCAGGUACAGCCAUUCAGUUCUGCACACUGACUUCCCAUCUGUAACUUCAGGGCUUAGGAAAACCAAGUCAGUCUUGAGAGUGGGUAGAGGAAGGGGGCAGCAAGCAUUACUUCUGUGCUCCCCACAGCAAACCACCGUAAAGCCAUGAGUGGCAUGUGCCCACAGUGGUGGGAGCUCAGAGGACAGAGUGAGCUCAGAGGCUGUACCCUGUGGGUACGUACCUGCAAAGCUGCUUUCCCAUGCCUAGGCUGGGUCCAUGCCACGAGCCUUGCCCUUGCUCUGCUGUAGAACUGUAUGGUCACAAGCCUUUGUCCCUUUCAGAUGAACAGCCAAACAUCACCUGAGUUCAGAUCCAGAAAAUAAGGGGAGGUGAUUAAGUUUACAGGGCAGGACGUUGGAGCCAAGGAAUGUAAAACUCAAAGGAAAUAAAUACAAUAUUAGGAUUUCACAUCAAACCCUGAAAACAGCACUCAAGGAGGACUUUCAUAAACAAGGUAGCAUCAUUUUCAGCCAUUUCAGGUUUCCUCAAUGAAGAGCAUGUUGUUCACUCAAAUACACAUAAACAUGGUUACACACCACUUAGAAAUUUAUUUCAUGUUACACCUUCUGUAUUCUCCGUGAUCACAGGUCAAAAGAAUGUCUACAUUAUUUAAAAAUAGCCUGGUCUCGGGCUGGGGCUGUAGCUCAGUGGCAGAGCGCUUGCCUAGCACGUGUGAGGCAUUGGGUUCGAUCCUUGGCACCACAUUAAAUAAAUAAAUAAAUAAAGGCAUGCUGUCUAUCUACAACUAAAUAAAAAAAAAUUUUUUUAAAUAGCCUGGAUUCAAACUAAGGGGGAGAAGUCAUUCAAAAGGAUGGGGGUUUGGCAGAGUGAGAACCUUGUCUGUGGAUCUAUUUGUAAAACUAUAGAAUAUAGCUUUGCAGCUCAGUUUCCAUGGAAGCUUAAUGAAUGUGCAUUGAAAUU
rnacentral:lncRNA from 1 species